rnacentral:rRNA from 1 species
AUGGUUCACACUUACUACAGAAGUUUUGACCUACAAAACACCAUUAUACAUUUCUCUGCAUUUACAGAAGUUUUGGCUACACAAGGGUUUAGACAGGAGAGGAUGGGGCAACAGAAAAAUAUCGUCACCAACAGCUGUCGAAAAUGGAUUUUUCUGCAUUUCUUACAUCAUGUUUUGGUUUGCCUCUGCCUGAAUCACCAUAAUACAUUCUGUCAACCUUCAUGUAUUCAUGCCAACAAUGUUUUAACAGCAAGUGCAAAUAACACUUCAGCUUUCACAAGUUGUUAUUCAUAUAUUCGGAUAAUAUGUGUCUUCCAGAAAGAUGAUUACAUUCUAGAUUCUACUACCAAUUAA